AGCGCAGCUGUGGUAGCUGAAGCUACGCCUCCUGUGUGGGUUAUAGAGCUCUGCAGAGGACUGGCCGGUAUUUACUCUUUCUGGGCCUUGGCUGAGUACACCAGCUUUCUUCCUAGGUUCAAACUACAGAAAUUCCAUCCCAGAAGAGGAAUUUAGACAAUUUCCAAUGUGAGCUGCAGAAGUUAAAGUAAUGAAGACAAGCAAAGAAACUAGUUUAAGAGAUGCCAACAAUGCAAUAUUAGGAAAUGGGAAGGAUUGGAAAUAAUCCAGCAGUCCUGCCUUCAAACCAAUUGUGAAAUCCUGCUGCACAGAUAAGGCCUCGCAAAUUAUGCGGUUCGAGCUGACGCGUGUGGCUGAAUCUUCAGACGCCUAGCGCUCGAGCCUGACCUGCCUGUGCCUUCCUCUCAGCCCGUGUCUUCUCCUCGCACUGCCUUCCAGCCUCACUGACCUUCUGUCUGUUUCCUCAUCAUGUUGAUUUGUGUUUCCUGCCUCAGGAACUUUCCACUUGCUGUUGCUUCCUCCCAGUGUAGCCUUCCUGUCUCUUGUCCUUCAUCUUUCAGCUAAAGUACCACUUCUUCAGACAGUCGUCUCUCGGCACAGUAACUGCCGGAGCCUCUCUUCCACAAGAGUUUUUCUUUUUCUCUUUUUUUUCCUACCGCUCCUCCUUCUUUUAUUUCCCAUAAUAAAACAUAACC
ensembl:lncRNA